GUUUGAUGGCAAAAAUUUGUAAUGACAUACUAGAUAAAACCAGUUAAUUCGGAAUAUCUGGCAAAAAUUUAAAAACAAGAGGAGCAAACAUCCUUAAUCCAUAUAUAACAUACUAGAUUUGAAAGUAAAUAAAGGCAACUAUUACAGUAGUAUAAUGGUUUUUUUUUAUCUUACCUUCAAUGUAAUUUAGAAAUAUUAUACUGUCAAUAUAGUUUGUUCUAGAUAGAAUAGACUAGCUAACUUGUUAUGCCAUCCUUGCAAAUUAUAUAGCUCUGUAUUUUUUAUGAUUAUCAUUUAGAAAUGGUGGUUACAUGUAUAUUUUGUAAUUGUGAC
rnacentral:lncRNA from 1 species